UGUCACCCCUGGCUGGCAUGAAGCUUGAUUACUUUUCUUGCAAAAGUGAGCUUGGUUUUCUUUGAAAGCGGUGGUUUCUGCCAAUGUUUUGACUUUUAUUUACGUUUCGACUAGAGUUCGAUAUGUUUGGUUAGAUGAAAUAAAACGAAGUGUUCGUGUGAGGAUAUGCGUUGUUUGCUCUAGAGAAAGGUGUAAAUCCAUAACAAAAUGAACGACGGGGAUUGGAUAUGCAGUGAUGCGAAUUGCGGAAAUAUUAAUUUUGCACGCAGGGCUUCAUGUUAUAGAUGUAAUAAAGAAAGACCCGACAGUUCCAAAGCCUUCAAAAAGAAACUAGGCACAGAAAUAGGAAAGACUGCAGCUGAAAAGUCUCGUGGCUUAUUCAAUGCCGAUGAUUGGCAGUGCAACAAAUGUGCUAAUGUUAACUGGGCCCGGCGUCAGACUUGCAAUGUUUGUAAUGCACCAAAGUACGGCGAAGUGGAAGCGCGCACCGGUUACGGUGGAGGUUACAAUGAGCGCGGCGUUGUGGAGUACCGGAGACGUGAGCCAUCCUCUGAUGAUGAAUAUGAUGAAUUUGGUAGAAAAAAGCGCAAACGUAAGGCAGACUCCCAAGAGAAAUCCGAAAAGGUUGGCAUCACUGAAGGAGCAGUAUUCAAAAGCUUGCCACCAACAGUGCUGCAGAUGGAAUCAAAUAAAGAACGUAAAAUGCCAGUCCUUGGGCCAAACAUAUCACUAAUUACAAAUAAUCCAAAAGAUAAAAGAAAUGGCAACCUUAGCGAUAGCUCCAUGUGUGAAAUUCCCUCACUAACAAAUGCAGGAGUUAGCAGAUAUCAACAAAUGAACAAUCCGAGACAAGAUUAUAUGUUACCAUCUUACAAACCAAAUGGUACUCAAACAAGAAAGAGAUUCUUAAGUGCCGGUGAUAGGGAGCAAGCAGCUUCAUCAGGCUAUGAGACUGGCUCAAAAAAGAGUAAACAUGAUAGCACAGACUCUCUUAUACCUAAAAUGUAUAACCCAGUAAUGGAAAAUAGGGUUUCAUCCACAAAGAAUGACCUCGUUUACAAAUUUACAAGACAAAAUCCAGCUGAAGAUUUUCAAGUAACCUACACCUUAGAAGAACGAAUAAGAAGUGCAGCUUUUGCCAUUGUGUACAACAACUGUAAAAUUACCACAGAUAAAUUUGAAGCAUUAUAUGACAAACCAGCACCAGAUUUUAAAACAAUCUUUGCCUGGAGACAGCGGCUUUUGAGCACAGGUUGUUUAGUAGAUUCACAUACAGAAUUAGAAAAAUCUGGAAUGACUACUGACAAAAUCAAAUCUCAAGACAGAAAACCAAUUUGUAAAUUGCCUAAUCCUGAUGAAAUUAUUAUUGACUCUGACAGUGAUGAGGAGGAACCUAAUCAAAAUCUAGAAAAAUCUGGAAGAAGUAUGAGUGCUGAAACUUUGUUCAUUGGAGGGAGUAGAGAAUUGCCAGCAGCUGGUAGCUCAGCCAGCACUGUGGAUGGAAGAGGAUCAGGAGGAAGAAGUUGUUCUCAAUCCACACACCGACGAACUCCUUCGAAUUCCCGCGACAGCCAAGACUCUAACUAUCCAGAUACUGAUUCAGAAAAGGGCUCCAAAUCUGUGAACCCAAGAAACGUUCUGAAAUCAUCAAAUACAUCAACUAGACAGUCCACCCAUGGAUCUGACUCUGAUUCAGUGUCCUAUAACAGUGAGGAAGAUAACUUCUUGUCAAGAGUAUUUGGAGAAGGCAGGAAGAGACGUAAAGUGAAGAGAAGGCCCAUCCCUGUGGCACCUACACCUAAACUUAGUAGUUAUGUGUCUACCGACGUCAACACUUUUGAAGGAUACAGUACAGUUAAGAAGGCAGAACAGUCGCCUUUAGUGACUGGUAAUAUCUACACAGCUAAUCUCCGUAAUAUGAAUGUAAAGUCUCGUGAAAAUAUUGAUAUUGAUGGCUGUUCCAGUGAGUAUGUUCCUACCAAACUGGGUUCUACUGCUAAAAAGAAUUAUCAAGAGUUUAAAGACAAUGUGCGAAAGAAAGGUUACUGGGCUAAGGGUAAUGGAACUUCUCUGGUGAUAAACAGGCAUAAUAUGUCAAUGGAUGUCAUUCAUAAAACAAAUAGAACCCCAAAUAAACCAAUAGAUGAACCAGUCAAAGCUGUAGAAAUUCAUCAGUAUGUUACUGCACAGUCUAAAGCUGUAAAUAAUCAAGCAGAUGAUUUCACUAAAGAUGACAUUGAGAAUUUCGUCAGCACUGAACAUUAUAUGCCUUUUGAUAAACCAGUCAAAACAGAUAAAAAUUGUGUUAUAAGUGAUACUACUGAGAACACUGAUCGCAUUUUUGCUGUAGUGCAAUCUAAUAACACUGCUAAAAACAGAAGUAUUUUAGACAUUUUUGAUAUUAGUGAGCCAGCACAAAGAACUCCAGAUGCUGAAAAUGAUUUGGAAAAGUAUGAUAAUGUGAGAAAAAUGUAUGAGAAUGAAUGGGAUGAAGAGGAUGAAGCACUCUAUAAAAAUUCAGAAUGUGAUGAUCAAGCAGCAUCAGGUGGGCAACAAUCUCCAGCUAUCUCCAACAGGCCUGAGAGUCCCACUUCUGACAUGUUGUACACAACUGACAAAAAGCCCCAGCGAGAACAACCUGGUGAUAAGAAUUUGAUACCAGAAUUCAUCAAAGACAAACAUGAAAUGCUUUUGGACAUGUUAAAGGAUUUUCAGAACAAGGAAAUAAGUCAGAUGGUAUCUCCACUGAAACAUGGGACCCCUCAGCGUCAAGAAGAGAAUUUGCACCACAAUAUAAUUGAUACCAACUUUAAUAAUUCUAUGGUUGAUCUGGAAUCAAUCCCAAACCCUGUCGCACAUAAACAUGACACAAUUCCAAGUCUUCUUAUCACCAGAAGUGAUUGUAUUCCUAACCCUAUAGUGAGUAAGUCUGAGCGGGCUGUGAAUAUGCUCAUGGACAGAUCUGAAUGUACCCCAAGUAAUACUUUCAACAGAACUGAUAGAAUCAUCAGUCAUCCUUCUGACCCACAUCUUAGAACUUCAGAUCUGCCAGUAAAUACAUCAGACUUGUUUAUGAAUCAAAGCAUAAGACCUGAUCCAGUUCAAAACGUUUUUGUCCCUGGAGUUUCCCCUAUUCCAAAUCUUAACAUAUCAAGAUCUGACAGGAUUUCAAAUCACAAUAUGGAAAGGAGUGAUUUGAUGCCAAAUCAUAAUAUUCCCAGAGCAAGUCAGGGUCUGAAUUAUGUAAUACCUGGAUCUGAUUUAGCAUAUAAAACAACCCUUAACAGACCAGAACAAAUGACAAAGUACCACAUGGCAAGACCUGAACAAGUACCAAACUAUUCCAUGACUAGAUCUGAGUUAAACCCUAAUUUUAAUAUUCCUAUACCUGAGCCAAUUCCGAAAGAAGCGUCACUUGAAAUUUUACGUUUAUCAGAAAGAGUUGGUAGUCAAGUUACUGAAGACAUUCCUAAAACGAUUAGUCCUUCAAAGCGAGUACAUAUCCUUGAAUACGUCACUAUUCAGCCUGGUUCAUUGCCACAGAAGAUUGUCCCAACAAACCAAAAUAACACAUCACAACAUGCAAGUCCCAAUGCACCACAGUCAAGUAACACAAAUUUCGUGACUUCAAGCCCUAAUGUUGACGCAAGUAAAGAUACUCCUGCAAAAAUUGCAGAACAACAACAGCCUGUGGCCCAAGUGGACUUGUCAAAUUUAUUAGCUGGCAUAAACACUAACACAUUACUAUUAGCAUUGCAAAAUCUUCAGCAAAUAAACCAAAAUUCUUCACCUAAACAUAGUGAACCAACCAAUGCUGAGCAACAAGACACUGAACAACCUGUGCAAGUCACAGAAACCAUCAACUUGACUAAUGACGAAGAUUGGGAGAAGGAGUCUAACAGAGAUGGGAGCAUUGAGAGGCAGUUGGAGAAACUGGACGGCAACACUGACACUCCUUUUUUAAGUGAUAUUUUUGACCCGGGCCCAGUUGUUAUACCACCUAACAUCGUGAGAAAGUUAAACCUGAAUAUACAACACCCAGAAGAAGAUAAAACUAACAAUACUUCGCAAACAAAUGAAAAUGCACCGGUUAUAGGGAACUUUAAAAGUUUUGCUUUACCAAAACCUAUUCUAUUGAAUAGGUUAAAACUGACCGUGAAAACCGCCGAUAAGACUACGAAAAGCUCAGGCAAAAGGGCGAAGCGAAAGAAUAAGAGCAAGUCGUCUCCGGCUCCGGGCCAGCCCGAGGGGGAGGAGGACGAGGAUGAGGAGUCGGGCGACGAAGCUGACCUCUCCAAGUAUGACUUGUGGGGCAGCGACGCUGAGCAGGGCAACUCAUCCAAAGCUGAUAAUGCGGAUAAAGCGAAAGACGGCGAGGGUUCCAAAGAGGGCGGGUCCGACAGUCAGGACGACAAAAACGACAACACUUCGCCACACAAGAGUAAGAGAAGGUUGGUCUUAGAUGUCUAGGAGUUCCUCUUCCUCAUCAAGCUCGUCUUCUAGUUCCAGUUCUAGUCACAGUUCCACAGCUCCUAAAAACAAAUUCGACGAUUUCAACUUGAACAGUGAGCGCGAGUCGCCCCCGAAGGGACGCAAGUCGCGGUCUCGCUCGC
rnacentral:misc_RNA from 1 species